AUGGUGCUACAUGGGAGCUGUAAUUCAAAUGCCUUAUGAACUCAUUUUCCUCUAUGAGCAGGGCUUCUCAACCAGCCUACAGGUCCCCAUGUGCACUGAGGCCAUGGGAUCCCUGUGAUGCGCUGCCUCCCUACCCUAAGAGACAAGAUCGGGGUCAUUGUAGGAGAGGCAAUCCAACCAGAGAGGCCAACGUAUAGAAGAGAAUGAGAACAUGAGGCUCUUGAACUACAGCUCUCAUAAGGCACUUCAGUGACAUUUCUGAAUUGAAAUCUUGUGGGUAUUUUACCAAAUUAUUUCAAUACUUAAGUUUUUGGGCUGAGGAGUCAAACUUUUUCCUGGAGGUGGGGUGGGUGGAACAUUUUCCAACCAACUCUAAUUAUAAGCCUGAUUUUAAAAUAACUGCCCAACUGCUCCAAAACCUAAACUACGCCACGUUUUCAGAGUAGAGAGAUGAGCCAAAAAAUCUAGAGAGGUUGAUCCAGGAAUUCCAAAUUUGUGGUGUUCUGUUGGCACUUAUCAGAAGUUGUGUAUUUGGGGUUGUGCUAACAGGUGUAUUGAAAAGGUCACCAUAUAUUUGUAUAAAAUAAAUAAUAAUAAAAUAAUUAAACUGUUACACAAGACGUGGUGGUAUGAUCAUUCAUAAUAUAAAUGAUCAGAUUAUGAGUGUCUAUCAGAGCUGCUGUGAAAAUUUAAAUGAAAACAAAAUUGACAAAAGUGAAAAAUUUCAAAAAAUAUUGCUUUCCUUCCUGCAAUUUUCUGAGCAACUUGGGGCAGAUAAAAAAGGGGCAGUGAAUGGGGACAGGAGAAUGAAGGCAUGAAGGUUGGUGCAAGGAUCUGAGGGAGGAAUGAGGUUUUUUUGUGCCGAUUAAAUUGAGAGCUUCAGUUUGCUGGGUUGGCAAUGAGUGAAGAAAGCUUAUGUGAGAGUGGAUAUGACUUGCUAAAGCUUCAUAUCCCAGUAACUAAUUUGAAAUUGCACUGAGUUUCUAUAGAUGGACACAUGAACAGACUGUGCUCCAUAAAGGUCAAAAUAUAGCCACAGGACAUUUUAUUUUAUGGUUGAAACCAGCUAAUGUAGGAGAUGAUUAUAAUGAUACAUUUUGUACUAUUAAAGAUAGGUUUCCAGGAAACCUGAAAGAUGUCUGCGUAACACUACUGGAAGGUACUUAGUGGAAAUAAAGAUAAGGUCACCUUUCAUAAGAGUAGAAAAAAACAGGGGGAAAAAAAAAGAUUGGUAGUGACAGUUAGUUGCUUUUAGUGCUCCGAUAGAAUACAUUUUCCAGCCUAUCAAUUUUACGUGCACAAAAAUAUGGAUGUGAUAAAUAG